rnacentral:piRNA from 1 species
UAGGAAUCUGUAUGCUUUCAAACGGGCUAA